rnacentral:rRNA from 1 species
UGCCAGCAGCCGCGGUAAUACGGAGGGGGUUAGCGUUGUUCGGAAUUACUGGGCGUAAAGCGUACGUAGGCGGACUGAUCAGUGAGAGGUGAAAUCCCAGGGCUCAACCCUGGAACUGCCUUUCAUACUGUCAGUCUUGAGUUCGAGAGAGGUGAGUGGAACUCCAAGUGUAGAGGUGAAAUUCGUAGAUAUUUGGAAGAACACCAGUGGCGAAGGCGGCUCACUGGCUCGAUACUGACGCUGAGGUGCGAAGGCAUGGGUAGCAAACGGGAUUAGAUA